UGAAGAAUGACUGAGCAGAGCCAUUGGGG
rnacentral:piRNA from 2 species